CUCUUAGUCCCAUAACCCCAUUUAUCAGACACACCUUUCUCCCUCUCUCCUCUCUUUGCAAAAAUAUCCCCAAACCCUGCUAACCCUAACCUUCUUCUACGAGGUACCAUCGGCGAUAGAUUUCUGCCUCCGUCACCUCCAACCUUCAUCGACGCACCCAUCGCAGAUUCUUCUACAGCUAGAUCUGUUUCUCAAUGAACUCACCAGCAUGUUCGAGCAAAGCACUGAGACGGGCUCUGUUUGGGUUACACUUGAAGAUGUGUGUAUCAUCCUUGAAGUCUCAAGCCGUUAGGAAU